AGGACGAACGCUGGCGGCGUGCUUAACACAUGCAAGUCGAGCGGUAAGGCCUUUCGGGGUACACGAGCGGCGAACGGGUGAGUAACACGUGGGUGAUCUGCCCUGCACUUCGGGAUAAGCCUGGGAAACUGGGUCUAAUACCGGAUAUGACCUCCUAUCGCAUGGUGGGUGGUGGAAAGAUUUAUCGGUGCAGGAUGGGCCCGCGGCCUAUCAGCUUGUUGGUGGGUAAUGGCCUACCAAGGCGACGACGGGUA
rnacentral:rRNA from 1 species